rnacentral:rRNA from 1 species
GACGAACGCUGGCGGCGUGCCUAAUACAUGCAAGUAGAACGCUGAAGAGAGGAGCUUCCUCUUCUUGGAUGAGUUGCGAACGGGUGAGUAACGCGUAGGUAACCUGCCUUGUAGCGGGGGAUAACUAUUGGAAACGAUAGCUAAUACCGCAUAACAAUGGAUGACACAUGUCAUUUAUUUGAAAGGGGCAAUUGCUCCACUACAAGAUGGACCUGCGUUGUAUUAGCUAGUAGGUGAGGUAAUGGCUCACCUAGGCGACGAUACAUAGCCGACCUGAGAGGGGGAUAGGCCACACUGGGACUGAGACACGGCCCAGACUCCUACGGGAGGCAGCAGUAGGGAAUCUUCGGCAAUGGGGGCAACCCUGACCGAGCAACGCCGCGUGAGUGAAGAAGGUUUUCGGAUCGUAAAGCUCUGUUGUAAGUCAAGAACGGGUGUGAGAGUGGAAAGUUCACACUGUGACGGUAGCUUACCAGAAAGGGACGGCUAACUACGUG